AAAAAAAGAAGUCGUCAUUCCAGCUUACCAAAAGGCAGCACAGUUUUUGCUUUUCCUCGCAGUCAAGAUGAAGAAAUUAAGUUCCAGAAUCAGUGCUGGGGCAGGACACAAGGGAGCUUUUUUGGUUAUCAGACAGUAGCCUUCUCCAUCAGCAAACACUGACUCACUUGCCCUUGUCACACCACUGCCCUU